GCUUGCUGUUCGCGGAGAAACAACAGAGUGGAGCACUGUCACUUUCCACGAUGGAGCCCUGAACCGGCAAGCAGUGACUCCUGAUCGCCAUUGGGUUCUGUCCUGAUAGUAUCGCAGUGCCGCCAAUCUGCAUCUCGAAGGUACUGCGAUCAACCAGGUUCAUUUCUGCGCUUAAUUUACUAUCUCCUCCCGAACCGCUACCACGGACGCAGUCUGGUGAGAUGUAGCUCCGGAAACAAACCAGGUCUACAAUCCUUCAGGGUCGCAAUACAGUGACGGAGGAGGCAUCCUCAACUCGUCCAGCCAUUGCUAACAACAUUGAAGAAAUACUGUGAAAAAUUGUUUGUGACUUUGGUGAAACAAAAUUUUGAUCUUGGAAAUUUGCAUAAAGUUACUUCAAUUCAUAACGAAAGACAAAGCAUAUAAGGUGCUGGGGAAGAACUGGUUUACCUGCAUCUCCAACCAAAAUUGCCAAGC